rnacentral:rRNA from 1 species
UUACAGACCAAGUUAGUAAGAGCUAUUGGUGGAUGCCUUGGCAUUGAAAG